rnacentral:rRNA from 1 species
AACGAACGCUGGCGGCGUGCCUAACACAUGCAAGUCGAGCGCGAAAGUUCCUUCGGGGAUGAGUAGAGCGGCGGACGGGUGAGUAAUACAUAGGUAAUCUACCUUCGAGUUUGGGAUAACCCCGCGAAAGUGGGGCUAAUACCGGAUAAGACCACGUAACUUAUGUUACGGGGUAAAAGGUGGCUUGUUUUUAAAUGAGCUAUCACUUGAUGAUGAGCCUAUGGCCUAUCAGCUUGUUGGCGGGGUAAGAGCCCACCAAGGCUAUGACGGGUAGCUGGUCUGAGAGGACGAUCAGCCACACUGGGACUGAGACACGGCCCAGACUCCUACGGGAGGCAGCAGUGGGGAAUAUUGGGCAAUGGGCGAAAGCCUGACCCAGCGACGCCGCGUGGGUGAUGAA